AGGUGACAACCUGGGAUCCCACAUGAUUGGUGGUUUUGUCGAGAACUUUAGCCGAAGCCUACAUUUCUGCAGGUAUGUCUAAUUUAGAGGAAAUAAAACUUGCCAUCUCCUCUUCAUUACCUGGUCUCUCUGAUGAAAAGCUUCAAAAAUUUAUCCAUGGUCUUUCUGCUAUUGGUGUUGAGACAAAAGAUGACCUCCGGUAUGUCAAAGAAGAAGACCUCAUGGAAUUCCUCAGGCCUAUACAAUGCCGCAAACUACUGAAUGCAUGAAAAAAUGAAGAACAAUCCAGCUGCUCGACUCCCCAACGAUCAUCGCGUCAAGUUCUUUCGGAUAUAUCAAGACCAGGAUCAGAGAGUUCAAGUUCUACACCAUCUCGUUCUACUGCUUGCUUUUCAGCAUCUUGCGCCUGGGCUGAAACAUUUAAGGUGCCUUGGGAAGUCAUGCCUUCCGAAAUUAAACUGGCCAUUGCAAAUAAAAAAAGACCAUCACCAGCUGAUUGAAGGAAGCUAGUAAGAAUGUUAGUGGAUAACAUGCAAAAACAUGAAGUAAACCCAUCAAAGGCACAGUGUCAGAUUGUAGUGCAGAAUAUUGUUAAGCAGUACCCGGACAGCUUUGCUGAUGUUCUGUCUGAUGGAACAAAAAUAGGUAGUGGGUAUGCCUCUUUGCUCUUGCAAGUGUUGUACAUGUAAACAGAAACAACACUUUAGCUCGUCGGAGAAAAGAAUGACUACGAUCAUCGUGUAGAACCAUAAGUCAGAGCUCAAGAAUGCUGGCUGAUCAAUAUGGUUGUGUCAGUUGGCAGCCUGAGGAGUUUCCUGUAGGAGAAAAUGAUGACACUCUAGAAGAGAAGCGCAAGCAAAUGGUGCAAAUGGUGCUGCUUCAUUCUACUGAAGGAAUGUCUGGAGCCAAUAGAGGAGAACUUCACAAGUUGAUGGAGGUCACAUAUUAGCGUCAGUGCCGUGAUAUAAACGCCACUCCACCACUGUCUGAACUAAAGAACUCAUGGCCUUACCUGUUUUGUCUGAAGGGGAUCUUUUUACAUUUCCAAUUGCUUACUGAUAUCUCACUGCUACAAAAAAUCAUGGAGAGCAUUGAAGGGAAAGGAAAGAGGAUUCUAAGAUUUCUUUCAAGAAAAGCCAACAAACAAAGAGGUGUGUGCUGUUCUGUUAAAGUAUCAAGAGGCAAAUUCUCUGGUCCUGUGCAUCUUGAAACUCUUAAUGGCCGAUUUCAAAGUGAGAACAGAAUCGCUUCUAAUUGAAGCUGAUGCAGCAGCAACUGCAGCCAACAUGGAAAGAGAGGGAUUACCGGAUUCACCCGCACUGAUCAUCCAAGGUGAAUCCAUGACCCCAAGCAAGUGGAUGUUGUCCUUUGAGAGGGAAGUUGUCCUGGGCCCAUUUUCAGAGGCAUUUGUUGAGGGCCUGGCAGCAUUGUUUGCGACCUAUUACAACUUAAAUCUUGCUUAUUAGGAUGAUGCUGCAUGCACGCUGGAAUUUAUUCAGAGAGGACUUGUGGGCAUCAACCCGGAAACAAGAAAAAGCGAGACAAGAAAAUGCAUGGAAUGAACGCACAUGUACAGUAUGCACACUGUUGCGUAAACUAAUGGACUUUGAAUGGCUUGUCAUUUAAAGUAUUCCAAUAGAAUUGCUACCAGAGACUGACCCGAUUUCCAAGUUCAUAUUCUUGCCUUUAAGGUAGGCACAGUUCAGACCAUUUCUUUAGUUUAUGACUUUAGAACAAUCACUUUAGGAAUGUGUGCACUGCAUAGUUAGUAUUUAAGUGCUGCUGUUCUUUUGCCUUACAUUUAAUGUGCAAUCUCCUUUUUUUUCUCUCCAUUGUUUCUCCAAAUACAUUUUGGCAUCAGGUUAUGUUAAAUAGCCAUUAUUGCACAAUAAAUUUGUUAUAUUAAUGAACCAAGGCUAAAGCCUUGCAUUUAAUGUGCAAUCUCCUUUUUUUAUUGUUUCACCAAAUAGAUUUUGGAAUCUGGUUAUGUUAAAUAGCCAUUACAAUAAAUUUAUGUUAAUGAACCUGUUAUUGUGAGUUUUAUUUGACAAAAAUGCUUUAACUUACAGCAAACAAAUAGUGAAUUGAAUUCCACAUCAGAUGCUCUAAUUUACUGUAAAAUGUAUAGCAGUACAUGUAAGUUCAUUGUUGCUCUUGUAAUUUCACUUGCAUUCAUAAACAUUAUUUCGACUUUAAUUUUAGUUACAGCUGUAAAAAUGUACAGCAUAUAUACAUGUAUAUAAGGCAGUGUGCUGUGUUUUUUACAGUACAAUUGUAGUUAAUGAUUUACAGUAGUCUUGGAAAUAUUACAGUAUUACUGGCAACCAAAGUUGCCAGUAAGUUACUGUAAAUUUUACAGUUAAUUUUUUACAGUGAGGACAAGAAAAUGUGACCAUAUAACCCCAAUUUUAUCAUCUCUACACUGGCUACCUGUUAUUUUUAGAAUUGAUUACAAACUGCUGCUACGUACAAGGCUCUUAAUGGUUUAGCGCCCAUGUAUCUAACUAGUCUUUUAACAUGUUACAAUCCUUCAUGCUCUCUGAGAAUAGUCAGACACACUUUCACAGUUUAAAUGUAGAUUAAAAACUUAUCUUUUAGUCAAGCGUACAUAAAAUACUUCCUAUAAUCUUGUGCUAUAAUACAUCUGACCAAAUGCACAUUAUCAUCUAGUGCUUGCUAAUAUUAUGAACAGCAGAUAUGUUAAUCCCUCUCCACUGCUUCUUUCUUUCUACCCACCCCGAGGCAUCCAGAAAUUGUACCAGCUCUGACUGUCUUGCGACAAUUUUCCCAGAGAAACCGAAGUACCCGGAGGAAACCCCCGAGGCACGGGGAGAACAUGCAAACUCUACACACACAAGGCGGAGGCGGGAAUCGAACCCCCAACCCUGGAGGUGUGAGGCAAACGUGCUAACCACUAAGCCACCGUGCCCCCCUGGGAUAAAUACAAACACAUUUAAAAAUAUGUAAUAUUAAUCUUGAAUUUUGUAAUAUAUUAAUCUUUAUAUUAUUCUUAUAAUAACCUUUUGUUCUAUGUUUAUGUUAUG